GCCUGGCCCAAUGGGCGCCAGCGAGGAAGCGUUAAAGAGUCAAGGCAGUUUGUGGGAGUCGCGCUGGGGACGUUCAAGGUGUCUCCUAGCCGGUGGACCCAGGGGCAGCUGCGGCUAGUCCAUUUGGAGCUCCUUCAAGCCGAAGCAUCCAACACCAGUGUCUGUGAGGUGUGGGCCCGGCCCCAGGAGCGGGGCCUGGGCAGCCCCGUGUGUUGAGGAAGGAAGGCAGGGCCCCCGCUCCCCGGGCCUGACCCCACUGCUUCAGCCCCCUCCUGCCUGCCUACAGCCUGGCCUCGAGGGCCCAUCAGAUGGAGUCUCACUGUAGUCCAGAUGGAGUGCAAUGGCGUGAUCUCGGCUCACUGCAAGCUCCGCCUCCCCGGUUCACGCCAUUCUCUUGCCUCAGCCUCCUGAGUAGCUGGGACUACAGGUGCCCGCCACCACACCCGGCUAAUUUUUUUGUAUUUUUAGUAGAGACGGGGUUUCACCGUGUUAGCCAGGAUGGUCUUGAUUUUUCGACUUCAUGAUCCGCCUGCCUCGGCCUCCCAAAGUGCUGGGAUUACAGGCGUGAGCCACCAUGCCCGGCCAAGCACUUCCUUGAACACAGAGGUGACCAUGAGGAGGGAGGCGUGAACCAGGAUGACGGGGCAGCAGAUGGAGCCUGCCUCCCUGAGACCUCAGGUGACCGAGUGCUGGACUGCCUCCUCCUGCCUACAUGGCUGAGAAAUAAACUUCUUUUUCAAACCACUGUGACCUGGGGUUUUCUGAUACCCUCAGCAAGCCUGUUCCUGUGGCCUGGUGUGGGUCCCCUGACCUGUG
rnacentral:lncRNA from 10 species